UCGGCAGUAGCUCAGUAGGUAGAGCAGGUGGACAGAGCGGUCUACAGAACCGUAGGGUCGGUGGUUCGAUCCCCGCUUCCAAA